GAAAAGAUAGAAAAAAGAAAACUUAAAAUUGUCAACAAGAAGUGGAUUGAAGACUGUGUCAUUUCUGAAAAAUACACAGACCCAGACACUUAUCUGGGGGAGAGCGCUAUCUAUAUGAUCACCCAUCUUUCAGAAAAUGAGCCAGGUCCAGAAACAAUUGAUAAAGUGAAAGAGUUUCUAUGUUAUUUUGAUAAACACGAUUUCGAAGAAAUGGAAACCAACUUGAAGAAAUGCAUGGCAGAAAAAGACAUCAUGUAACCUUUUGACAAUUUGAAUUUGAUCAUUCCCCAAAAAAUUUCAAGAAAAUUAGCAUAUCAGCAAAGAAAAUAGGAAUUUCUAGGAAUUGUUUUAAAA